rnacentral:tRNA from 1 species
GCUGUGGCUCAGUGGCACAACAUCUGUUUAGCAUGCUGAAGGCCUCAGGUUCAAAUCCCAGCAUCACCC